AUACGGAGGGUGCAAGCGUUAUUCGGAAUCUCUGGGCGUAAAGGACGCGUAGGCGGGUUGGCAAGUCAGAUGUGAAAUCCUACAGCUUAACUGUAGAACUGCAUUUGAAACUGCUAACCUAGAGUAUGGGAGGGGGAGAUGGAAUUAGUGGUGUAGGGGUAAAAUCCGUAGAUAUCACUAGGAAUACCGAAAGCGAAGGCGAUCUCCUGGAACAUAACUGACGCUAAGGCGUGAAAGCGUGGGGAGCAAACAGGAUUAGAUACCCUAGUAGUCC
rnacentral:rRNA from 1 species